rfam:Penicillium solitum strain IBT 29525 PENSOL_contig028, whole genome shotgun sequence.
GGAACUGUAGGAUAAUGGUUAGUCCAUCAAGCUUAUGUGAUUCUCCCUAACCGGGAAAUUUCAUGAUUCAUUCCUUGAAUAUCGUGGUUCGAUUCCGCGCAGCUCCA